rnacentral:rRNA from 1 species
AGUUGAAAUAGCUUUCCCUCCAGAGUGGAUCCUGAGUACGGCGGAACACGUGAAAUUCCGUCGGAAUCCGGGAGGACCAUCUCCCAAGGCUAAAUACUCCCUAGUGACCGAUAGUGAACCAGUACCGUGAGGGAAAGGUGAAAAGCACCCCGGAAGGGGAGUGAAACAGUUCCUGAAACCGUGUGCCUACAAGUAGUUAGAGCCCGUUAAUGGGUGAUAGCGUGCCUUUUGUAGAAUGAACCGGCGAGUUACGAUUUGUUGCAAGGUUAAGCGGAAAAAGCGGAGCCGUAGCGAAAGCGAGUCUGAAUAGGGCGCAUAAGUAACAGGUCGUAGACCCGAAACCAGGUGAUCUACCCAUGUCCAGGAUGAAGGUAAGGUAAUACUUACUGGAGGUCCGAACCCACGCACGUUGAAAAGUGCGGGGAUGAGGUGUGGGUAGCGGAGAAAUUCCAAUCGAACUUGGAGAUAGCUGGUUCUCUCCGAAAUAGCUUUAGGGCUAGCCUCGAGGUAAAGAGUCAUGGAGGUAGAGCACUGUUUGGACUAGGGGCCCUUCUCGGGUUACCGAAUUCAGAUAAACUCCGAAUGCCAUGUACUUAUACUCGGGAGUCAGACUGCGAGUGAUAAGAUCCGUAGUCGAAAGGGAAACAGCCCAGACCACCAGUUAAGGUCCCCAAAUAUAUGUUAAGUGGAAAAGGAUGUGGGGUUGCUUAGACAACCAGGAUGUUGGCUUAGAAGCAGCCACCAUUGAAAGAGUGCGUAAUAGCUCACUGGUCGAGUGACCCCGCGCCGAAAAUGUACCGGGGCUAAACAUAUUACCGAAACUGUGGAUGAACCUCUUUAGAGGUUCGUGGUAGGAGAGCGUUCUAAGGGCGGUGAAGUCAGACCGGAAGGACUGGUGGAGCGCUUAGAAGUGAGAAUGCCGGUAUGAGUAGCGAAAGAAGGGUGAGAAUCCCUUCCACCGAAUAUCUAAGGUUUCCUGAGGAAGGCUCGUCCGCUCAGGGUUAGUCGGGACCUAAGCCGAGGCCGAUAGGCGUAGGCGAUGGACAACAGGUAGAGAUUCCUGUACCAGUGCUAAUUGUUUAACCGAUGGGGUGACACAGAAGGAUAGGGAAUCGCACGAAUGGAAAUGUGCGUCCAAGCAGUGAGUGUGAGAAGUAGGCAAAUCCGCUUCUCGCGAAGCAUGAGCUGUGAUGGGGAAGGAAAUUAAGUACGGAAGUUCCUGAUUUCACGCUGUCAAGAAAAGCCUCUAGGAAGAGUAGUACUGCCCGUACCGCAAACCGACACAGGUAGAUGAGGAGAGAAUCCUAAGGUGAGCGAGAGAACUCUCGUUAAGGAACUCGGCAAAAUGACCCCGUAACUUCGGGAGAAGGGGUGCUCUAUUAGGGUGCAAGCCCGAGAGAGCCGCAGUGAAUAGGCCCAGGCGACUGUUUAGCAAAAACACAGGUCUCUGCAAAACCGUAAGGUGACGUAUAGGGGCUGACGCCUGCCCGGUGCUGGAAGGUUAAGAGGAGUGCUUAGCUUCGGCGAAGGUACGAAUUGAAGCCCCAGUAAACGGCGGCCGUAACUAUAACGGUCCUAAGGUAGCGAAAUUCCUUGUCGGGUAAGUUCCGACCCGCACGAAAGGCGCAACGAUCUGGGCACUGUCUCAACGAGAGACUCGGUGAAAUUAUAGUACCUGUGAAGAUGCAGGUUACCCGCGACAGGACGGAAAGACCCCGUGGAGCUUUACUGCAACCUGAUAUGGAAUGUUUGUACCGCUUGUACAGGAUAGGUAGGAGCCGAAGAGACGUGUGCGCUAGCAUACGAGGAGGCAAUGGUGGGAUACUACCCUGGCUGUAUGACCAUUCUAACCCGCCACGCUUAGCGCGUGGGGAGACAGUGUCAGGUGGGCAGUUUGACUGGGGCGGUCGCCUCCUAAAGAGUAACGGAGGCGCCCAAAGGUUCCCUCAGAAUGGAUGGAAAUCAUUCGCAGAGUGUAAAGGCACAAGGGAGCUUGACUGCGAGACUGACAAGUCGAGCAGGGACGAAAGUCGGGCUUAGUGAUCCGGUGGUUCCGCAUGGAAGGGCCAUCGCUCAACGGAUAAAAGCUACCCCGGGGAUAACAGGCUUAUCUCCCCCAAGAGUCCACAUCGACGGGGAGGUUUGGCACCUCGAUGUCGGCUCGUCGCAUCCUGGGGCUGUAGUCGGUCCCAAGGGUUGGGCUGUUCGCCCAUUAAAGCGGCACGCGAGCUGGGUUCAGAACGUCGUGAGACAGUUCGGUCCCUAUCCGUCGCGGGCGCAGGAAAUUUGAGAGGAGCUGUCCUUAGUACGAGAGGACCGGGAUGGACACACCGCUGGUGUACCAGUUGUUCCGCCAGGAGCAUCGCUGGGUAGCUAUGUGUGGCAGGGAUAAACGCUGAAAGCAUCUAAGCGUGAAGCCCCCCUCAAGAUGAGAUUUCCCAUUUCUUCGGAAAGUAAGAUCCCUGAAAGAUGAUCAGGUAGAUAGGUUUGGAGUGGAAGUGUAGCGAUACAUGGAGCGGACAAAUACUAAUCGAUCGAGGACUUAACCAAAA